UGGCAGAUAGCACAAUUGGCAGUGCGCCGGUCUCCAAAACCGGUAUAUGUGGGUUCGACUCCUACUCGGCCAGC
rnacentral:tRNA from 1 species